UCAAGAACCAUCAAGUUUAACAAUGGCCGGUCAAGAAGUGAAGGUGUUUGGUGUAUGGGAAAGCCCAUUUAGCAAAAGAGUGGAAAUUGCACUAAAAAUGAAAGGGGUGGAAUAUGAAUACAUAGAAGAAGAUCUCAAAAACAAGAGUCCUGCAAUUCUCAAGUACAACCCUGUUCACAAGAAGGUUCCUAUACUCUUGCACAAUGGGAACCCGAUAGCCGAAUCUCUAGUCAUACUUGAGUACAUUGAUGAGACCUGGAAAUCAGGCACACCCCUUCUGCCUAAAGAUCCUCUCCAAAGGGCCAUUGCCCGCUUCUGGGCCAAAUUCAUUGAAGACAAGGUAUAUUUUUCGUCCAUCAUUUUCAUUUACUAGUUUUAUUAGAUCCGGUUACCAUGCUUCAUGGUAAGUUGGUCAAUUGACCAAUACCUAACACGCAAAGAGAGAUCACCCCAUGGCUUGCGUGUAGACAUUGUAUUGGUGAAUUGACCAAAAUUAAUUUCAUACUAACUACUCCCAGUUUUAUUUCCCUUUUUUACAAAAAAAAGACUAAUUCAUUUGUUUUUUUUUUCAGUGCUCGGCUGCCAUAUUGAAGGUUAUGACUUGCAAAGGCGAGGAACAAGAGAAGGCAAUUGAAGAAGCUAGUGAGCUCCUAAAAACACUCGAAAAUGAACUGAAAGACAAGAAGUUCUUUGGAGGAGAUAGUAUUGGACUGGUUGACAUUGCUGCUAAUGUCAUAGGCUUUUGGCUUGUAGUUAUUCAAGAGGCAAUGGGGUUCGAAUUGUUGACAAAAGAGAAGUUUCCCAAAUUAGGUGAAUGGAUUGAUGAUUACUUGAACUGCAGCAUAAUAAAGGAAACUUUGCCUCCUAGAGCUGAUCUGCUCUCCUUUUUCCAAUCCCACUUCUAACCCAGAAAUGCUUCAAAUUGAUUAGUACAUGGCUGAUAAUGUUGUGUUGCAUAUGCUGCAGUUUGAACACUGAAUUCUACAAGCUAUCGUUUGUAGUCUUUUACGAUGUUUCAUGUUUUUACUACUGUGUCAUGUUCAAGAAUAUCUUGAAAUAAUUUCAUUUUGUCAUACGGGUUUCCAUUAGCUUGGAUUCCGUUUAAAUUGAGGUAAAAUAAAUUAGGUACCCAAAGUCUUGUUUUUGUUUCCGAGUAUGUACUGUGUAGUAGGCCAUGUUAUGCUAAAGAACUUGUUGAAGUAAUUUCACUUUCACAGGUUUACAUUUACUAGUUUUUGACUUAAUUAAACAAGAGUUUGUCAGCAUAUUCCAAUUCAAAGUUUCUAUCAAAUUCAAAUUGAAUUGUCUAAAAUGGACUCAAUAAGGAAAGACUCUGAUUUUUCCCAGGUCAAUCAGUCCCUUUAAGCACCACAGAAGUUUCACCAAGCUCCUGCUUGUUCAUUCAUCAACAUCCACAAGUCCCUCUCCAGUAGGCCAGGGCUCCAUCAAUCAACCCUAGACUAAAUAUAGUCUAGAACUCAGCAGCUAGACUAAAUAUAGUCUAGAAGAUUUUCCGGUGUAUCCGAAAGACUAUAUCAAGGAAUCUGAUUGUGGUGGACUAUAAUUUUUAGUAUAUUUAAAUGGGAGUGUGGAAGAAUGAUUGGUGGACUAUAAUUCAUUAAAUAUAAUAUAAUCUUUUAAUAUUAUAGUCUAUGGGAUAGUUCAUCUGCCGGAAGAAUUGAAAGACUAUCACAUGGAUUGACAUCAUAUAAAUUAAAUAUAGUUCAUGAUAUAGUUCAUAAUAAACAGCUGAAAAUAAAACUAGCAAAGAAAAAGUAGAAGAGAGGAUCAACUGUUUCAGUUUUUCUUCAUACUCUUCUUAUGAAUCAAAUGAACAGAAGAAGCCAACAAGAUUGAGGUAAGAAGAACCAAGUAUCAUCCAAAUAAAAGGCCGAAAUAUAUGAAAUGAGGAAAAGAAAUAUUAAAUGUAACACUGAUAACUCCUCAUCAACUAUUAUGCAAAAGAGAAAUUUGUGGGUCACCACUUGAUGACCUAGAAGUAAAGGCUAAUAUGAUUAUGUGAAUGUGUGAUACUUGAUAAUAAUUUACUUAUCUCUGUUUAAUUCGAAUUCGGUUACCAUCAAGUUAAUUUUAUGGUAAGUUAGUCUAUUGACCAAUACAAUGUAUUGACAUGCAAAGAGAUUAACUUCUGUCUGCAUGUCGACACUGUAUUGAUCAAGCCAGUUCAAUUCAAUUUUUUCUCCAAAUUAACAUGUCCAAUGAACCAAAGACUUUCGAGUAAAGUAGUGAACAGAAACAAAAGAAGAAACCCAAAAAACCAGAAAACCUUUAUUCAAUUAUGAGAGAAAAGAAGAAAAAAAAUCUUUGAAAGGUGGCUGAGCCAGAGGUCAUCCCAUAGGUCACUUACUUCUUCAAGUAAACAGUUCAUUAAUGCUAUGAUUCAACUUGAUCUCCAUGUCCGAAAGAAAAUUCAACUUAAAACUACUAUAAAAUAUAGAUAUAUUAUAGUUUUAUGUAGCUUAUUGGCCAAGUAAAAGUGUAUAUAAAAAGAACUCAAGCCAAGAGAUUAAAAAAACAAACAAACCAACAUUGAACUUGCAGAGCACAAAUACAUAUACAUAUACAGUCUCUCAUAGUGUUAAGAAGCAAAAAUUGUAACAAUGGCGGAUCAAGUAGUGAAGCUGUUUGGUUUACGGCGAAGUCCAUUCAGCAAUAGAGUGGAAAUUGCUCUAAAAUUGAAGGGAGUGGAAUAUGAAUAUGUUGAAGAAGAUCUUUCUAACAAGAGUCCUCUGCUUCUCAAAUACAACCCUGUCCAUAAGAAGAUUCCUGUGUUGUUGCACAAUGGAAACCCAAUAGCCGAGUCUCUAGUCAUUCUUGAGUACAUUGAUGAGACCUGGAAAUCAGGCACACCCCUUUUGCCCAAAGAUCCUCACCAAAGGGCCACUGCGCGUUUUUGGGCCAAAUUCAUUGAUGAUAAGGUAUAUUCUUAAAUC
rnacentral:lncRNA from 1 species